GGUCACUAUACAUAUAUAGCAUAUUUCGCAUGUAUUUACUACGGUAAAUCCGUAUGUGCAUCCAUAUUCACGAGAUAGAAAAAAACACGAAAUUCUACUUUACGAUUUAUUUCAGUGGUGCAGGUUGUCAGUUGUCGUCGUCGCGCGCUGCAUAUUGUUUACAAACAAGAAAAAAGGAAAACGCACACGAAAAGUAGCGAUUGCGUUCCCGGUCCUGCUACAGACGGCGUUCAAGACAGCGCACCCGGUUCCAUCACCGCCACUAGCAUUCCAAGGAACCGGCAAAUGAAACCGGGACCGAGUUCUUUAUCAAGUAUCAAGCUGGUUCGCAGUCCCAACAGACGGAAGUCACAAUCACUUUCCGGUAAAAUUAAGAUGCACCCCAGGAAAAUUUCCUGUAGCCGGAGUUGAACCUGCUUGAGUGGAUUCCGGAACAGUGGCCCAGAAAUGGUUCUUCGACAAGCAAGUGACUGCCGGAUACAACCUAUCUAUGGAAUGGGAGCUGCCACGGAACGGGACGUGUGGGGCCAAGGAACGAACAGGAAUCUUUACUAAAGUAGAUCCAGACCAAGGAAGAGUCAAUUUUGUCGCAAUAGGAUGAUUUAGGGUUUGCUAUGGUGACAACAACGGUCAAGAAGUUCGAUCCGGCCUCGAUGCGCCGCGGAAACCAACCUGCAGGGAACAUUUCGUCACCAGGUAGACUACGACUUAGUUUCAACGACGUAACAGUAGUCCCUGCUGCUGCUCGUGCAAGGAUUAUCAACCGCCGGGACGCUAUCUACGCAGCCGCCGCCACCUAAGGAACAGCGCUCCCUGUCGCUGAUGGCCCGCUUCUUGUCAAUGCUGAUCGAGCACCGGCGGCAAGACGUUAGCGACCAAGCCAUGAAGAAGGCGGAUGCUGGAAAAAAUGGAUCGGGUCUGGGCCGGUGAAUACGUCGUCAUAAGCAUCGCGAGAAGAACGAGCUAAGUACUGUGCGAAGUACUCGUACAUUCUGACCCUAGUGAUAACACCUGUGGCAAUUUAAUUCAAUUUAACAUGUAUUAAUCAGUACCAAAUAAAAAGGCUGGUCAGGGUGUUUUUUUUGCUCGGAGAGUCCAACUCUUUUCGCUACGCCUCCAAUCGACGGCACCUUUUUUGUCGGUGAACAGGUUAUGGCGAAAACGAUAAGACAUCAGCAUUCGCUUUAGAAAAAUUAGUCCCCAGGUUGAUGUUCUGCAACUUGAUAAUCGCGAGGCGGACAUGAUCUGACGGUUGUGCACGGAUAACGUAACCGACAAUACAAGAGUGCCAAGUCCCACAGACGCAAGCGUGGUGAUUAUUGCAUUCGAUCGUAAUAUUACGAUCGUAAUUUCUCGACUCACGAUCGAGAUUUCUCGAUAGUAAGAUUACGACUUACCAUCGACAAAUCUCGAUCUACUAUCGACAAAUUACGACUUACCAUCGAGAAAUUACGAUCGUAAUUUGACUGUUGAGAAAUCUCGAUCGUGGAUCGAGAAAUUACGAUCGUAAUUUGUAAUACCGUUUUUUUGAA